rnacentral:rRNA from 1 species
GACGAACGCUGGCGGCGUGCCUAAUACAUGCAAGUUGAGCGCUGAAGGUUGGUACUUGUACCAACUGGAUGAGCAGCGAACGGGUGAGUAACGCGUGGGGAAUCUGCCUUUGAGCGGGGGACAACAUUUGGAAACGAAUGCUAAUACCGCAUAAAAACUUUAAACACAAGUUUUAAGUUUGAAAGAUGCAAUUGCCUCACUCAAAGAUGAUCCCGCGUUGUAUUAGCUAGUUGGUGAGGUAAAGGCUCACCAAGGCGAUGAUACAUAGCCGACCUGAGAGGGUGAUCGGCCACAUUGGGACUGAGACACGGCCCAAACUCCUACGGGAGGCAGCAGUAGGGAAUCUUCGGCAAUGGACGAAAGUCUGACCGAGCAACGCCGCGUGAGGGAAGAAGGUUGUCGGAUCGUAAAACUCUGUUGGUAGAGAAGAACGUUGGUGAGAGUGGAAAGCUCAUCAAGUGACGGUAACUACCCAGAAAGGGACGGCUAACUACGUG